rnacentral:rRNA from 1 species
UUUGCCGGAUUAGCUGAGAGGUGGUGCAUGGUCGUCGUCAGUUCGUACUGUGAAGCAUCCUGUUAAGUCAGGCAACGAGCGAGACCCACGCCCACAGUUGCCAGCGUACUCUCUGGAGUGACGGGUACACUGUGGGGACCGCCGCUGCUAAAGCGGAGGAAGGAAUGGGCAACGGUAGGUCAGUAUGCCCCGAAUAUCCCGGGCUACACGCGAGCUACAAUGGUUGGUACAAUGGGUAUCUACCCCGAAAGGGGACGGGAAUCUCCUAAAACCAAUCUUAGUUCGGAUUGAGGGCUGCAACUCGCCCUCAUGAAGCUGGAAUCCGUAGUAAUCGCGUUUCAACAGAACGCGGUGAAUACGUCCCUGCUCCUU